AUUGGUUGGAAGACGACGGCAGCUUUCUGUGGAUUGGUGUGUUCCUUCUUGCCCAGGGGUGUUUGUUGGUUGUUACAGGCGGCACGGUGCGUGACCGAGUCUGGUCUGAUGUGCUCUGGCGUGCAGGAGGGUGUGAGAUGACCGACCGUCGGAAGGAAGGGCCUCUCUCUCUGGUCACUGCAGCAUCUCCUCUGUACUAAAAUGAUAUAGUUCUAGAUUUGGAUUGAGUCAAACCUUUUAAAUUUUAACUAAAUUUAAAAUUAUUAUUAUUAUUUAUGAAUAUAAGGGUAUUGUUUGGU
rnacentral:lncRNA from 7 species